GGAAUUGUUUUUCUAAGCGACUUUCGGUGGCAAAGAAUACGGCCUAAUGUAUUCAGGAUAUGAACUUUCAACCUAUAUUUAUUACGCUACGUGUAAAUUCAAUAUGUGAUUUAAAUAAAGUCAUAACAAAGCAACGUCACCAUGAAAAUGUGAAGAUGUGAAACAAGAGUUUACGCUGACAACAUGAAUAGGUGGGAGUUGAAAUUCUUUACCAAACACAGGCUUCUUUCAAAUCUCACUAUGUAGCGGAAAUGAUAAAAGCAAAGAAAACAGGAUCUUGUUAUACUCUAUCAUCAGAAAAUUCCAUGCGUGUUGGCAACGCCAAGGCCAAAAACCAACAACAUAGUUGCUAUCACGUUUUCUCGCGCGUGCGUCACGAAAUAAUGAAAUGCGUGAUUAUGUAUCUACUUCGUCCACAAAUGAUUGUAUUGCAUAUGAUAAUUUCAAAACUAAUGUGUGGAUUUUCAAAAUUUUAACAAUACAUGUAGAUAUACAAAUUGUUCAUCAUGUGAACAUAUCGUGAUUCAUUAUAAUUAAAUCAUAAUAUUAUGUAAAAUUACAUAUUGUAUACUGUCAAA